rnacentral:tmRNA from 1 species
GGGGCUGAACGGUUUCGACUUCGAGUGUCGAAUCAAGGGAAGCGUGCCGGUGCAGGCAAGAGACCACCGUUAAGCGUCGUUGCAACCAAUUAAGCGCCGAUUCCAAUCAGCGCGACUACGCUCUCGCUGCCUAAGCGACAGCUAGUCUGUCAGCCCGGGAGAGCCCUCGACCCGGUGUCUGGCAUCAGCUAGAGGGAUAAACCGGUGAGUUCGGUCGCGGGACUCAUCGGGACAUCAAACAGCGACUGGGAUCGUCAUCCUGACUUGUUCGCGUGAUCAGGAGAUCCGAGUAGAGGCGUAGCGAACUGCGCACGGAGAAGCCUUGAGGGAACGCCGUAGGACCCGGGUUCGAUUCCCGGCAGCUCCACUG